ensembl:lncRNA
GGGACUUUAACAAAAACAUGUUCUGAGUCAACAACAAACAAUUCCUUUAAGAUCCAUUUAUUAAAGUUAUUAAAAAAAAGAGACAAAUAAGUUAUAAUAUUUGUAUUUGUUAGAAUUCUAUCAGUGUUUGAACAUUAGUAUUUAGAGAGCUGGUACAACUUCUACUUUCAUGGCCAGCCUUUGACAAACCCAUAGAAACAGCUGGCUGAGUUCUCUCCCCUAUGAUAGAUAAUACUGAGUGGGACGAGUCAGUCAAUGCCGUCAGAGCCAGUUAGCGAUGAAAGUGUGCACCGUAGGAUUUUUCUCUGUUACGGUAUUAUUACAUAUAAACUCUUAAAAAUAUAUACUUCUGUCAAAUAACUUGACAACUAUGUACACUACAAAAAUACAUUUUCAUAUAAAUAAAUUAUAUGGCAUACAUUUAUCUUUGUAACUGAAACAAUAUAUAUCCUCGCCAACCAAGACCAAAUGGCAUCUGUAGAAAACCAUAGAUCUGUUUCUUUUCCUUUUAAAAUCCUCUAAGAGCUAUGGUGAGUCUUGUAGUGUAAAUGUUAUAUACUCUGGUUUCCCUACUUAACAUUAGUAAGCACUUUAUACAGAUUGAACACCAUUCAUGUCAAAACAAUAGUAAUAGUGUUUUUCAAUAGACAUAAAAAUCCCUGCAUUUGUUAUCCACUGACAUGUAUGACCAAUAAUGGAAGUAAACAAAACAAAAACAUCUCAUAAUACAAAAAUAUAAAUAUCGCAAAUUCAACGUUGAAAAACCAAACACAAACAAAACAUUACAAAAUGUAAGAAAAUAGUUGCCAGCCAUGAUUUCUCUCCAUUAUUGCCAAUGUGACAUCAGGAGGGAAAAAAAGAAGAUUUUCACUCAAGCAGCUGACACGCAAAAAGACACAUAGCUACACGUGUUAGACUGUGUGUAUGUGGGGAGGGGGGGGUCUGGAAAGACAUGACUGACACACAUAGCUACACGUGUUAGACUGUGUGUAUGUGGGGGGGGGGGGGGGUCUGGAAAGACAUGACUGACACACAUAGCUACACGUGUUAGACUGUGUGUAUGUGGGGAGGGGGGGGGUCUGGAAAGACAUGACUGACACACAGCUACACGUGUUAGACUGUGUGUAUGUGGGGGGGGGGGGGGUCUGGAAAGACAUGACUGACACACAUAGCUACACGUGUUAGACUGUGUGUAUGUGGGGGGGGGGGUCUGGAAAGACAUGACUGACACACAUAGCUACACGUGUUAGACUGUGUGUAUGUGGGGAGGGGGGGGUCUGGAAAGACAUGACUGACACACACAGCUACACGUGUUAGACUGUGUGUAUGUGGGGAUGAUGGGGGGGUCUGGAAAGACAUGACUGACACACAGCUACACGUGUUAGACUGUGUGCUAUGUGUGUGUAUGGGGGA